GUGCCCUGAAAUAUGAGUAAGGAAACCGCGAAGUCUAGCGGAGGCUAGCUUCAUGCCCGUGAGGGCGUACAAUUUUUCAAAGGGUAUAGGACUCAGUUUGGCAAGGCGUCUACUUUGCGUCUUGUUAGAUUGGGAACUGCCCU